AUGGAUCUCAACCUCAACCUUCUAAGGAGUAAUUGUGUGAUUUUUUAGUAAAAUAAUUUUAUUUGAAAUUGUGUGAUUUUUUAGUAAAAAAUAAUGAGUCUUAGGAAAUAUGUGUUGCUAAUAAGAAAUGAAAAAUAAUGCAGCAAAUGGUGGAGAUGCAAUAUUCGAUGUUGAUUUCUGGCCUGAAGCUAAUUUCUUGAGAAGAGCCAUUCGCUUCUUGAUUGGCAAUCCUGACAUGGCUCUUGUUCAAGCUCGUUGGAGAUUUGGAGAAAGCACCAUGGGAAUUGAAAAGUAACGAGAAAAUUGAUACAACUAAAAGGAAGAAAGAAGAAGGCAAUAUGAUAUUUAAAGGUUGCAAGUGUGAGCGGGUAGCCUAGAAGUAUGAUAAGGCUGCUAAUUAUGCUAGUGAAGAUGGAUGGUUUGGGGAUGAUGAGGAAAAACAAAAAGCUAAAGCACUAAGAGUGUCAUGCUGGUUGAAUGGUGCAGCUUGUUGCCUUAAACUUAACGACUUUCCUGGAGCAAUCAAGUUAUGUUCACAGGUAAACAGCCAAUUAAAGUCAUGUGUAGGAAUAAGAUUUAAAGUUUUGUUAUUCAGUUAGCAGAUUGCUAUUUGAAUAGUGAAUAUGAUAAAAUGUGGGGGAGAGAAGUGAUGACAAGUUGUAUGCUUCUGGUAAAGCUAAUAGAGAGGUUCUGGCAACAAAAAUAGUUCCAGUUAGAGUCCUAGUGUGCUAUUUAGUAGACAGGUUCUAUGAAUUAAAUUUAGUUACUUGAAGUAAACUUUCUUUGCAAAUUCUCUUCCAACUAUUUUAUUGUCUGCUGGGGACUCGUGUGAAUUUUGGAAAGGAAUACACUACUUUCUUAACUUCUAGUUUAAUAAUGAUAGUGCUUAAACAAAAAUGACUACCACAAGAUGAGCAUUAAGGAUUGUUGGAUUGGCAUAUAAUGAAUAUGUUCAGGUCAGAAGUGACCAGCUAUGGGGGACUGAUGUCUAUAGAUAUGACUCAGAUCUUGUUGCAGGUACGUAUUAUUAUAAAAAGGGGGCUACUAGUUUUGAUUACUAAGUGACAAAUUUAACAUGGUUGAAAUUAUUACUGAUUUUGCAAUUUAUUGUAUAGUUCUCAUGCAUACAGGUUACUGUUUUCCAACAGCUUCUCCA